UACGUAGGGGGCUAGCGUUGUCCGGAAUCAUUGGGUGUAAAGAGCGUGUAGGCGGUCCGGUAAGUCCGCUGUGAAAGUCGGGGGCUCAACCCUCGAAUGCCGGUGGAUACUGUCGGGCUAGAGUGCGGAAGAGGCGAGUGGAAUUCCUGGUGUAGCGGUGAAAUGCGCAGAUAUCAGGAGGAACACCUAUUGCGAAGGCAGCUCGCUGGGACGUAACUGACGCUGAGACGCGAAAGCGUGGGGAGCAAACAGG
rnacentral:rRNA from 1 species